rnacentral:rRNA from 1 species
ACGGGUGAGUAAUACAUCGGAACGUGCCCAAUAGUGGGGGAUAGCCCGGCGAAAGCCGGAUUAAUACCGCAUACGACCUGAGGGUGAAAGCAGGGGAUCGCAAGACCUUGCGCUAUUGGAGCGGCCGAUGUCAGAUUAGCUAGUUGGUGGGGUAAAGGCCUACCAAGGCAACGAUCUGUAGUUGGUCUGAGAGGACGACCAGCCACACUGGGACUGAGACACGGCCCAGACUCCUACGGGAGGCAGCAGUGGGGAAUUUUGGACAAUGGGCGCAAGCCUGAUCCAGCAAUGCCGCGUGCAGGAAGAAGGCCUUCGGGUUGUAAACUGCUUUUGUCAGGGAAGAAAUCUUCUGGGCUAAUACCUCGGGAGGAUGACGGUACCUGAAGAAUAAGCACCGGCUAACUACGUGCCAGCAGCCGCGGUAAUACGUAGGGUGCGAGCGUUAAUCGGAAUUACUGGGCGUAAAGCGUGCGCAGGCGGCUUUGCAAGACAGAUGUGAAAUCCCCGGGCUUAACCUGGGAACUGCAUUUGUGACUGCAAGGCUAGAGUACGGUAGAGGGGGAUGGAAUUCCGCGUGUAGCAGUGA